AUGGGGGCAGGAAACUUCCCCUUUAUGAAUCCUGCUUAUGUCUCCAGCAGAGAAUCAGAAUUCCAUUUCCCAGCUCCCCUUGCAGCUAGGAUGGAGGCAUGUGACCAGAUCCCACCAAUCAGGACCAACCAAAGGAGAGUUGACUUCAGAAGAAAGAAAAUGGCGGCAGUAGUUGUACCUUCUAUUCAGCGUCUCCAAUGCCAGAGCCUGGACGCAAUGGGCUCGUGUUUGUAGCCUGUUCAAUGGCGUGUGACAAUCAUGGCUCCUGGCUGCUUGGUGCCCUGGUCAAUUCUCUCGGCAUCCCAGCAGUUACCAGGCCCCUUACGGCUCUGAUUAUGUGAAUUGGGUCCAGGUGUCUCUGAAGUCAGAAAAUAAACUCCCCAAGUUUGGGCCAGACUAGAAGAUGGUGAUGCGUCUUGAUGAGCAAUCAGGUGGACCUUGAACAAGGAGGAUCAGGUUCUGCCGGCACCAAUUCAUUCAAGGACAGAAGGAACUGAAGCUUGCAGCUGGCAUUUUGAGGCGAAAGCUUCUAAAAUUCCUGUUGACGGUCACGGAAAUACUGGUUUACGGUUAUACAUUCAAUACCACGGCAAGGGGGGCAUUAAAAAAAUUUUUUUUU